UUCAUUACACAGAUGCUGAGCCACCUUUGCAGAUCUAUUGAGGAUUUAAGAAUCCACUGGGUUGGCUUGACUGAGUGUCCAAUUUGAAGUCCUAGGGACCUAUGGGGUCUUGUCAUCAAGCAUUCACGAAUGAGCCGUUGAGAUUGUGAUUCUAUAUACUAUUCAUAGUACUUACCAUUUAGUUGAGAUCCACCCCUGAUGAAGUCUUGGAGAAAAGAUGAAACACGUCAGGUUGUCUUCUUAUGAAGCUCAUGUUAAAGAUAAAGUGGAUAUUACAGAAUAUCACCUGUAAAUUGCUACUGUGGUCAUUGAUCUGUAAAAAGUGUGAAGCAAGUUACCACUUUUUCGAUGUACAUACAUUCAUUGUAUAUUUUUACAAUAAUAAAAGUUUUUAGAUGGAA